rnacentral:rRNA from 1 species
CUGCUGCCUCCCGUAGGAGUCUGGGCCGUAUCUCAGUCCCAAUGUGGCCGGCCAACCUCUCAGUCCGGCUACUGAUCGUCGCCUUGGUGGGCCGUUACCUCACCAACAAGCUAAUCAGACGCGAGGCCAUCUUUCGGCGAUAAAUCUUUGACAUUCAGACCAUGCAUCCAAAUGCGUCAUGCGGUAUUAGCAGUCGUUCCAACUGUUGUCCCCCUCCGAAAGGCAGGUUCCUCACGCGUUACU